rnacentral:lncRNA from 1 species
AACACGGGGCUGUUGUUUACGGCAUUGUGCUGGUGACAAUAGCUGUACUGUCUCAGUGUCUUCUUUUGGGAGGAAUAGGGGUCGUUUUCUGUGCCACAUCUUUAUUGUCCGGUGUUAUAAUUGCUGCAAUUUUACCUGUAACAGAAAUCUUAGCAGUUAUAUUCUUCAAAGAAAAAUUUAAUGCAGAAAAGGGUGUUGCUCUGAUUCUCUCCCUUUGGGGCUUUGCAACAUACUUUUAUGGUGAGACAAAACAAGCCAAGAAAAUGAAGAAAAACUUGCUCCCACCAGAAGCAGAGGUGCUUCAAGUUCUUCCUGUUUCUAAUGCAUGAUUGUAGGGUAUGUUUCAUUUUUUGGCUGUGUAUAAAUUUCAAUCUCUAGGGUCACUUGGGACCCAGGUCUAGGCAAAAUUUUAAACAGCCAACAUAUUAGUAACUGCCAUUAUAGUAAAGGCAUUUCAUUGUGUCGGCCAAAUCAUAAUAGUACGUGUAUUUGGUCUGCGUUUAUUUAUAAAAACUAGAAUUUUAGUUAAUUAAUUUUUAAGGAUAUAGUAUAAAUGUUUGGAUUACUUUUUUUUAGAAUAAAAGCAGCAUAAAAAUAUUAUUUUAAUGAGAGAGGGAAAUACAUAGCUUCUUGAAAUAAUCAUAUAAAAGGAUACAAUAAAGUAGAGGUGAGCGUGACUCAACUCUACUAUAAAUUCAAAAACAAAGUCGAGACAAAAAAAUGAUUGACGAGAUGCAAAUAACUAUACAUGGUAACUGGUGUUAGAUCAGCUGCAUAUGAAGAGAGAAGGGAGAGGAGAAGAAGAAGAGAGAAGGGAGAGGAGAAAUGCAAUAUAGAAUUAAUAAUGGAGAUAAGGCCAAAGGAUCAAUACAUAUAGGAAGUUAGGAAAAUACAAAAAGACAAGACUACCAUUUACUAAUAACUAAAAUAUAUUUAACAACCCGUAAGGUUGAAGAAGGGUUGCGAGGGAGUGGGUUAUGUGGUUCUUCAAAGGAUGUGGUGUGGGGGUUAGUGAAAAGAAAAGGUUGUAAGUUUUUAUUAUAUUGAAAUUAGCGUGUUGGCAGCCACUAUCGUGUCUGUCAACCCGUUUUCCUAUCAUUUAUAAUAUAUACUUUGUAUGUUAUAAAUGUCAAAUAUAAUAUUUUGUGUUAAAUAUUUGUAAUCUACAGUUGAAUUUAUUUGAUUGGUGUAAUGAUCUACAUUAAAGACUAAUAGUCACAAUCUAAAAAUAAAAAAUAAUUAACCAAAUAAUAUGAGCAUAUAUCAGGUGAAUAGGAACAUUAGGUUAUAUAUAAUUUUUUUGUAAAAAUUAGAAAAUAGUAAGGGCAAAAUAGGGAGAACCACAAAUUACACCAUAGUAGAUGGUUAUUUUGGAUUUUCCCUUUAUAAGUAGUAUAGAUGGUUUUUUAAUUGAAUUUUAUGAAUAAAUAUCUUUUCCAUAUAUAUUGGUACAUAAAUAUACAUUUUAUUUCUAGAAAAAACAUCUCUUUUUCUUUCCUUUAUUUCUCAUCCAAACAAUACAGUGUGUAAAUUGUAGUCAGAAAGAAGAAAAUCCCGUUUACACUUUACAUAUAUCAUCCUGAUCAAACAUCAAUUAUGGGGUGUCCAUAUACAUAUCCAUUAUUUCUCGAAAACAUAAUAUAUUUAUUUAUAUUUUAUUUUGAGUUUAAUAUGUAUAUAUAUCAUUUUUUAUAUAGUUAUUACAUUAUUUAUCUUUCACCUAUAGAAUAUUUAUUUAAAAAUAAUAAUUAUUAACAUAUAAAUAGGGAAUAAUAUUAUGAGAAAAAAAUCUAUUACACUGUUUUCCAACUUUAUACGUAACCGUGCAGAUAAGUCGAUGAGAUACGUGUUCAAAUGGGCUCUGUUCUAGUUUGGUAAUGAUGCAUUGCCCCACAUAUAUCAAUGCAGACAGAAAACUUUACAUGUAAUUUUUUUCAUGAUAUACCGUGGAUCAUGUAACACUAACAAGAAUAUCAGGAACAAAUCCUAUUGGGUGCUUUUGUAACCAAUGAAAAAAAAGAGCAACACUCCUGCACACUUUUUGGGACAACGGCUCCACAAAUUUGGGGAAGGGAAUACUGAACACUUAAUGUAACAAAACCACCCUUAAUUGAUUUCUUCAAUUACCCGAUUCCAACAUUUGAGUGAUAUAUCAGAAUAUUCUGCAAAAAUAUGACGCAUUUAAGAGUGGAAGUUUCUUCAAGAGGACUAUAUAUUGGUCUAACACCAUAGAACCCAGUUUCAAGGAUAAUAUCUCAUACAGAUUUUCUUUGACAUAAAUAAAUUCACGUGAGUGAGAGCAAUCUCUAUUUGAGAAGAUACUUUAAUUUCCCAAAUCUUUCAUAUAUAUAUAUAUAUAUAUAUAUAUAUAUUAGGGAUGUUUCGCGGUCCAUUUGGAUCAGUUUUUAGACAAAAGAUGAUCCGAUCCAAACACGUAAUUAACAUGCGGUCUGGACCAGUCUGAUCUAUUUAUAUUAAGAUGUCUGAUCCAAUCCGAUCCAAAUAUAAUAUGCGAUUUCGGUCCAGUUUGGAUCGGUUUUCUUAUUUUUAUAAAAUAUUUAAAUUGCACUUACAUUCAAAACUCAUAAAAAAAGACUAAAUAUUAAGCAUAAAACAACAAUGAAAAUAGUGUUUAACAACAUUAAAAUGUGUGCAACUAUAUUAUAAGUAAACAACAUCAUAAAAUACUAAUAAAUAGUAAGACAAUCUAUACUAUAUAUAAAGGCAAAACAUUGUGUAACUUCCACCAUUGUGUAAUUUCUAUUUCCUAUUUUGCCCUUCACAUUAUUUAAUUUUUACAAAAAGACCAUGUAAUCAUAAAUAAACAUCACCAACACAUUAAUUAACUAUAUCUUUCACAUUAUCAUAAAUACAUAAAAAUUAUAACAAAUACAUUGUAAUUCUAAAAAUUGAAUACGUAGUACCAUGUAAUAUUGACCGGCAGACACGAAGUGUCUGUACAUACUAGUAAUAAUAAAAGAAAAAAUAGUAACAACAAAAUAUCAAUAAUAACAAGACAACAAAAUAACAAGAUAUCAAUAAUAACAAGACAACAAAAUAACAAGAUAUCAAUAACAAUAAUAUGAGCACUUGCAACAUAAUUUUAACAGUUAUGAUGUUUCACCGAUGAUUAAUAACAAUAAUACUUUCACAGCAAUAAAAUUGAUAAUAAAGCACCUAAUCAGAAUAACACUUGAAUCCUCUUUAUUUGGUUGUGAGAUUGAUUUAAUUUCUAAGAAAAAGUGUAUCAAAAAACAUAGCAACAUAUAUAUAAGUAUGUGUUAUAGAAUAUAACAAAUAAAAUAUAGAUACAUUUUUGGAGUUGGGACUUAAGAAUAAGUUUGGAAGACACUUAAAAGUAUUACACACUUAAACUUUACAUAUUAUUUUGGUCCGGUCUGGAUCCAAGAAGUGAAACCAAAAUCCAGACCAGACCAAUUGGUCUUUAAAAAAUAAGUCUAACACGAUCCAAAUGCAUUCGGUUUUUUCAAUUUCGGUCUAUUUUAGAUCGGUUUUCAGUUUUAUUGUUGGAUUGGUAUGGAUCUGAACACCUUAAUAUAUAUAUAUAUAUAUAUAUAUAUAUAUAUAUAAAGAAACAUGUAUGAAGUGAAACCCGAGCCGGACAUUAAACCGGGAGAUGUCUCGUAUUAGGUUUAACCGAUUUAAAUGGUUAAAUUGUCCGAUCAGACCGGGUGAUUUCAUAUAUGAUUUAUCAUUUUCAUAUAUAAAUAUAUAGCUAUAUAUAAAUACAAAAGUUUAUAUAAUUAAUAUUUAUGUGUAAUUAUAUUGAAAUAACAUUUUUCCAUUUUUUUGGAUCGAAGUAAAACAAAACAUUAGAGUAGUGUUUUAUAUUUUAAAAAAUUUAAGUGAACCGUCCGGUCAAAGUGGUCCAACACUCAUUUAGUUAAAACUAGAAAUCAGAGCCGUUUUCAAGUCCGGUCAGCAGUUGGAUCGCCCGUCCGAUUAUCACAACACUGAUACGAAGAUAAAGCUUAAAACGGUCAAUAGAGCCACAAUUAUUAUCUGAUUGAAAUAAGGAAGUGAUCAUCAUAUACUAGCGCCAAAGAUGCACAUUUGCAAUCCGUAAGAAAGCAUUGCGAAAAGCUAUCUGGUGAACUUUGGAAUCUUUUGCAUCAGCCACAACCAAUAUAGUAUGUAUGGUAACCUUUAAUGGAGAAGAAAGUACCAUAAAAUGAUAAAGAAAACAAUACAUACAAUAACACCUGUAUUCUAUUCAUUUAUAGUUAAAAGCAGUGUUGUGAAAUCCGAGCCGGACGUCAAACCAGCAGAGGUCCCGUAUUAGGUUUAACCGGUUUAAACGGUAAAUCGUCCGGUCUGACCAGGUGAUUUUGUAUAUAAUUAAUAAUUAUGUAUAAUUAUAUUGGAAUAAUAUAUGUUUAUCUUUUUUUGGACCGUAGUAAAACAAAACAUUAGAACAUUGUCCCAUUUUUUUUUAUUUUUAAGUGAGCCGUCCGGUUUACUUCCCGGGUUAAUCCGGUUUAACCGGGUUUGACAUGGUCGGAACGAAUUUUUUCCGGUUCAAAGCGGUCUAACUCUCAUUCAGUUAAGACGGUAAACCAGAGCCGUUUUCAAGUCCGGUCAGCGGUCGGACCGUCCGGUCUGGUCCGGUUCUAACAACACUGGUUAAAAGACAUUUUUAGCUUUAAACUAAAAGAAAAAAAAAUACACACUCUCCUCUCCAUUAUUGGUGAGAAGUCUAACCUAAAUCUCAUUUGCCAUGACUUUUUGCCAACAAUAUUUCGGACAUCCUCGUUCGACCCGCACUUACUGUUGCAAGAAACUGAAUGUGGUGAUUGGAAACUCAGUCACAACUUACUUAGUCACAACUUACUUAGUCACUUAACCUUCACUGGUGGUUGUUUGAUCCGAUGAACUCGUCCAAGUUCGGCAAUUAUGGUUUUGUUUUCUAUUUGUUUAGUAUUGUAUGUUACUACAUCUGUGUAGUUCUAUUUUUCUAGUUCUUUCACUAACAUAUAUCCUUUGUCUCAAUAAAUUUAUAUUUAAUAGGGAUGGCAAAUGGGCUUAGCCCGACGGGCCAGCUCGUUCAGAUAGGUGUUUUUAGCGGGCCAGGUUGAUGGUUUUAGCCCAAAAGCCCGUAUUCAACCCGUUUUGGAAGCCCGUUUUUUAGACGGGCCAUGGAAGGUCGGGCCGGGCUGGCCCGGCGGGCCAACAUUAAGAUUAAAGUUCAUUUGUAUAUCAUGUUGCUCAUUGCAAUUAAGAUUAAACUUUUACAAUUUUAACUUAUGUUUGGAUGCUUAAGCAUAUAAUUCUUCUUUCUCUUUGUAAAAUGAACAUUUAAUAUCUCAUUAUGUAGUUAUCUAUUAUCUUCACUCUUAUCCAAUUAUUGUACUUGUUAUGAGAUAAAGGUGAAGUUUCAUUGACAAUUAGGGGUGUUUGAAUCAAAUUUAAACAUUUAAUUAAUUGAAAUGGAAUAUUGGAAACUCAAAUAGAACUAAUGAUUUUGAUUCAUUUUGGAAAAUUAAUUGAAUUCGACCGAGUUUCAAUUUAUAUUUUUAAUGUUGUCGAAUUCAAAUUAAAUUGAGUAAUAUAUAUAUAUAUAUAUAUAUAUAUAUAUUAUUGUGAUUGAUUUAUAAUAUAAUAGUUCUGAUUCUUAUAUACUUUUUAAAAUUUUGGAUAACUGAGAGUCUAAAAGUUUAAGCCUAUGGUAGUUUAUUGUUUAGAAUUUACAAGUUUUGUACCAAUGCAAUAUGUUAUUAUGAGAUUGUGUCUUUUGUUUGUUUUUUAUUGUUUUAAAAGACAUUUAUGAAUUGUUAGAAUUAUUUAUUUUUGUCUAAAAGCUUUCAUGUGUGUUUUGAAAAAAAAAACGGGACAGCCCGCCAGCCCUGCCAAAUAUGGGGCGGGCUGGCAUUUUGAGCCCUUUUAACAAUAAGGGUCGGCCGGACCGGGCUGAUCCAUAUUGCCACCCCUAAUAUUUAAUUGAAUGAUACAUUUCAAUUUAUCCAGGAUAUAAAUGGGGACAAAUUGGGACAGAAGAUCUCCAUUCAAACUUCACAGAUUUUGGGUUCAUCAUGUGUUAAAAAAGAAAUAAAAAAAUUUAUAACACUAAAGAAUUACUAGAUGGGGCAUGAAAAAAAUAGGAAAGCUCAGAGAGAACCCCAGAUUGAAAACUGGGGAGAACCCCGAAGACCUUCAUUCAAGAGAGGUCUUCAUGAGAGAAACCAAGCACAUUACAGCNNNNNNNNNNNNNNNNNNNNNNNNNNNNNNNNNNNNNNNNNNNNNNNNNNNNNNNNNNNNNNNNNNNNNNNNNNNNNNNNNNNNNNNNNNNNNNNNNNNNCCACCCCAAAAUCAGAGAGAACCUUAUCUUGUGAAAGACCAAAACACUUCUACCCACCAACCAAUGAGAGCUUUUUCUGGACCAUCAAAGGAAAUAAGAUUUAAUGCCAGGUUCGAAUCAGAGAGAGGAAGAAGACAAGGAGACCAUCAGAGAGCCUAUGGACAAUUUAGUACCUUCUACAUUACCAAUUUUCCAUAUGACUUUAAUAUCAAUGACAUUUGGAGGACCUUCUAGUGUUGUGGGAGAGUAAGGGAUGUUUAUAUCCCAGAGAGUAAGGUUUGCUUUUAUUAGAUUUGAUAAAGUUUAGGAUGAAAGAGAACUAGAAAAGAAAUUGGACAAUUUCUGGAUUAGAAACAAAAAAAUCUUUGCAAAUAUCCGAAGGUUUAGUAGGGAUGUUCAGCCACAUUCCACUGCUGGUGUUGUCCAAGUUGAGAACCGGGUUGCCCACGAACACCAAGUCAGAUAUAAAAGAAGCUAUCUUGAUGUCCUUAAGGGUGUAACCACAGAAGGACCACGGGAGGGAGGACCCAGUGUGGUACACCGACAGCCCUCUACUUCACAGCCGAUGUCAGAGACGAAGACAAUGCUGGAUCUCAAUGCAGACGAGAAGGAUGUGGAAUGACUUUUAGAUGUUUUGUUGGAAGAACCGUUGACCAGGAGAUGACAAGGACAGUGAAGACUACAUUGUGUUCAGAGGGUUUGCUAACAGUUAAUGUUCACCCAAUGGGUGUAAAUUUGGUUCUUCUUUCUCCAUUAGAAGGGGAAGUUAUCCAUGAAAUCCUAAAGGAAGUAGAAGGAUGUCUCAAGAAGGUGUUUUCUUCUUUAUUACCUUGGCCGGCAGAGGCUGUUGAUGACUUCAGAGUUACUUGGAUUAGAUGUUUUGGAAUCCCAUUACAUGCCUGAAAUGUGGGAUGUUUUGAAUUAAUCGCUAAGGAAUUCGGAUUUUUGGUUUCGGUUGAUGAAGAGGCCACUCAUAAGAUUAGGUUUGAUAUGUACAGGUUAAUGAUUAAAACCCAUUUGAGAUCACGAAUAGAGAGUCCUGUCACAGUAAGAAUUAGUGGCAAAACUUUUGACGUCCAUCUUUGGGAGGAGGUAGGAAAUUAAGAUGCUUAUAUGAAGUUUAAGGAAGAAGACAGUUUUUGUUCCUUUUCAUCGGAUUCGGUGUUGUGAGAGUUUGAAGAUGUAUUGGUGAACUCCAUUGCCUGGAUGUCAGAAACGGUGGAGGUUGCAAACCCAUCCGUUUUCGCAGAAACUGAAGGUGUUGGAGUAGAAGUGAAAGAGGGUGUCAUAACUCCAGCUGGCUCUAAUGGAAUUUGUGUAGAGUUAAUUACUAAUCCUCAAAUUUUGUUGUCAAAUUUAAAUGGAGUUAAUGAGGUGGUAGUUAAUGACACACUGAUCACGUAUGGAAAGAAGGAAAGUGCAUUUAUUCACACUAAAGUAAGGCAAAACAUCCAAGGGACCCAUAGUCCAGAUAUUGGAAUGGUUGACAAGGAGAAAUAUUCUCCUUUAAUUUAUUCAAAGGAAUUGGUAGAAUCAAUGGGCCCCAAUUCCCUACCAAGCCCAAAACAUAAUUCUUAUUCUUCUAUUCAAGAAAACAUGGACAACCCCCUUUUGUUUGAACAACACGGUGCUCACUCCAUUAUGGAGGAGGUUCCGAUUUUUUUGGAGGUGCAUGGACAGUCUAAUAGUGAUAAGGUAACUGACUUUCUUCCUCCUUCUAAAUCCCAGGCUGCCAAUCCUAUUUCUAGUCAUGCAGACUCUUCUUUAGAGGUGAUCAAUUGUGACUCAGGUCCCCUCAAUCCUAAAGGACCAAAAUGUGUGGGUAAAAAGAAGAGGAAGGAUUCGAAAAUUAUUAAAAAAAGAAGAAUAAAAAAUAGGUACUCUUGGACUGGAAUAAUUUCUGUGUUGACCUUGGUGAUGUACCUUUGAUCAAUAAUGGAACCACGUUUGCCUUGCAUGCUAUCUGUAACGCCCCGGAAAAUACUUCUAAAAAACAUUGCGGAAAAAUGGGUAAUUUUUUUUUUGAAAUGGUGAUAUAAAAUUGUUUCCUUUUAAAACCUUCCUUUUCCGGGACAUCACUUUAGGUAACUCGAAUGCGGAAAAUCAACUUAUCGUUAUCGAAUGAUAACUUAACCUGAUUCACAAUUUCCUGAAUAACAUAAUGCAUAUAAACAGUUAAGUCAUCUUUAGUUCAUACAAACUAAGUCAACAAAGGCGGAAACUACAUCGCCACUAACAUAUACAAAAUCCAAAAAGAAAGGGCGAAAAUAUUAAUCAUCGCCAACAGACACUAAACAAAGACAUGAACAAACNNNNNNNNNNNNNNNNNNNNNNNNNNNNNNNNNNNNNNNNNNNNNNNNNNNNNNNNNNNNNNNNNNNNNNNNNNNNNNNNNNNNNNNNNNNNNNNNNNNNUGCUCUAAGUCGUCCCGUCAUUUCCUCUCCACUACUUCAUGGUCACAAUGCAAUGCAAUGCAUUCUUAAUCAGAAUCAAAUGCAAAUGUAUUAAUCAAACACAUGAUCGGCCCAUCCUUAAGCCAUCUCCCGACAAGGAAUGCUUCUCGUGGGACCCGAUAGUACGUCAACCGUACGUGCUCAAGGUAACAUCUCAAUCACAACAACCCAUCACCGAAUACUCCUGGACGGUCACAUGACCAAGCCUCUUAUGGUCGGUCGAUCGUUGUUCAGUGAUAUCAUGUAUCCUUACUAGGGUACCCCCUAGUUCACGACCUCAAGUCGGAUACUUGCCCAACACGACAUAAACACAAACAAUACUUUCAUUAAUUUUAUGGAGUCAUGCUUCUCAUCUAAGCCAUGAUCUCAUUCUACAACCUUUAUAUCACAACACACCCUACCCGGAUUCAUCACAUUGUUCUCAACAUCAUUUUAUUCCAAUCUUCCCACACUGUCCCUCGCCCAAACGGGGACUAGUCGCUCAAGCGACAAUUCAUCUUUACAUCUCAAAUAAACUGAAGCUUUCCUCGCCUAGGCGAAGGUAUUAUCGCCCAAGCGAGGUCUCUUCUCGCUCAAGCGAGAGGGUUCCAGAAACUCAUUAAAGUCUUGGGAUUUUUUUUUUAAUUUUUUUUUAAUUUUUUUUCCGCCCAAGCGGGCUUUUGCUCGCCCAAGCGAGGUAUUUCCAGAAUUUUAUCGAAUUCCUAGGCUUUUUUUCGCCUAAGCGAGACCCUUGCUCGCCCGAGCGAGGAUUUGGCGCCCGGGCGAGGGAGUUCCAGAACCAAAACUUCCCCUCGCCCAGUUCUCACCCAAGCGACAGGGACUUGGACAGAAUACUAAUUUUUGCCCUUAUCGACAACCGAAAUACAUUUAAACUUAGUUUUUCAAACACCUGCACCCAGAAAAGUUUCCAACAGCAUUCAUAUACAAUAUUCAACACAUUUCAUCAACAANNNNNNNNNNNNNNNNNNNNNNNNNNNNNNNNNNNNNNNNNNNNNNNNNNNNNNNNNNNNNNNNNNNNNNNNNNNNNNNNNNNNNNNNNNNNNNNNNNNNCAAAAGCAUUCAAACAUACAAAAUCUUGGGUUUCUUAAAACUCAAGUUAACUCCAAAACCUUUGAGAUGGUUUUGAAGAUCCGGGUGUCAUAUUCAAACAUCACUAUGUCACGAUGUGUUCUCUCUCACCUUAAUAAAGCGUGCUUUAACUUGCCAACAACGGGUGUUUUGGUUUCAAGGUUCAAACACCGAAAUCUUUGUAACUACCAAAAUCGUUUUGGUUUCAAUGUUUCUAAAAUCGUUACUAAAAUACUUUAAAUCACUUCUUUUUUUUCCCAUCGUGAUCAUACAUCCAUUUCAUCCAUCCGGUCCGACAUCACAUGUUCUCGACCAUCCUUUUUUAUCGAAAGUCCGAUCACGAUUUCCAUCCAUUUUAAACANNNNNNNNNNNNNNNNNNNNNNNNNNNNNNNNNNNNNNNNNNNNNNNNNNNNNNNNNNNNNNNNNNNNNNNNNNNNNNNNNNNNNNNNNNNNNNNNNNNNCAUCCCCUUUGGCUAAAACAACAAAAACUAUGUAAUACAACAUUAUAACAACUCCAUGAACAUAAAUUGUUCAUGGUUUCAACAAAAUAUUUUCAUAAGUUCAAGAACAUAAUUAUUUUCGGUUUUGAGAAGAAAAUGAGUUAGAAAGCGUUUUAGAAAAUUUCAACGGUUGAAUAUGUUCUUGACAUGCUCAUGAACAUCAUACUUAAAUCUCAUCAACAUCCAUUGGUUGAAUGUUGAGAGAUCAAGGUUUGAAGAUGGAAGAAGAAAGGAGAAAUGAGAGGAAACAUGAAGAGAGGUUUUACCUCCUCUUGACAAAUCUUGAAAAUGAGAGAGUGUGAGAGUGAAAUGUGUUUAAUGAGAGGAGGAAAUCAGAUUUCCCCCUAGGAAAUCAUUACCAAAUCUCCUGGGGUGGAUAAUGAUGAUUUCCUAUGACAUUAGGGUGAGUGAUGUGAGGUUUGCUUUAUGAAAAGGCAAAUCUCGCAUCCCAAUGCGAAACGACCACUUCGUGGACACGUGCGAUAAAAAUGCUCGAGUAUUAUCGGCUNNNNNNNNNNNNNNNNNNNNNNNNNNNNNNNNNNNNNNNNNNNNNNNNNNNNNNNNNNNNNNNNNNNNNNNNNNNNNNNNNNNNNNNNNNNNNNNNNNNNAUAAAAUUACAAGACUAAAACUCAACUAGAGUUUCGUCUAAUUCUUUACCGAAAUUUUCCAGAAAUUCAUUUUCGAAUAUAUAAUUAAUAAAAAUAUUAAUAAAAUCUUAUAAUUCAAAAUCGUAAAAUUCGCGGUGUUACACUAUCAACGAGUGUUCUCAUCAUUUUCACCAUGAAGACAAAUGUCCAAGCAUGUUAAACUUUUUUGUGGAGGAAAAUAGAAGAAAUGAAGUUGGGCAGUCGUAGUACCAAAACGAAGCAGAGGAGAUGUGGAAGAUUGGGGUUCAGAUCAGAAUUAGUGGGAAAGGUAAUGAUGUUGCAAUAAUUAACAAACUCGCUGGUUUGGAGGAAAGGGAUCAACACCAGUUUCAACAGGUGAGAGGGAGCCAGAUAAUGGUUGAUGAAAAUCAUAACCAUUAACAUAAGAGGUUUAGGUGGGAGAUUGAAGAAGGAGAUCAGAGAUUUAGUUAGAAAAAAUUCUCCGGAUUUCUGAUGUAUUCAGGAAACAAAAAUUCAGAUUGUUGAUUACAAGCUUUGUUUAUCCUUAUGGGGUUUUGAUAACUUUGACUGGGCAUUUAAACAAGCUGAUGGUAAUUCUGUCGGCAUACUAAGUAUUUGGAAUAAGGAAUUGUUUGUUUCUGAUGAGGUGAAGAUUGGGUUGAACUUUGUGUUGGUAAAAGGAAAGUGGAAUUUGCAUAGUGAGUUUUCUCACAUCAUGAACGUGUAUUGUCCAUGUGACUUGGAAGGGAAGCGAAAAUAUUGGGAGGAAGCUUUGAAUACUAAAAUGGGUCUUUCCGGAGACUUACGGUACCCGGUGGGAGAUUUUAAUGCGAUUCUUAAUCAGGGUGAAAGGAAAGGUAUUAGUACUCGUGAAGAUAGAAUAGAAGGUGCUGGAUUCAACAAAUUCAUUGAGGAUAUGGAGCUUUUUGACUUGCCUCUUGCUGGAAAUAAAUUCACAAGGUUUCUUUCAAACGGGAAGGCGUUGAGUAGAAUUGAUAGAUUUCUGGUUAAUGACGGAUGGUUGUUAAAAUGGGUUAAUAUUUCCCAAUUGUGUCUACCUCGGAAGUUUUCAGAACAUUGUCCUGUGUUGUUAAGAUCUUGCUCUUUGGAUUGGGGUCCGACACCUUUCAGAACUAAUAAUUGUUGGUUAUCUGAUACUACCUUCAUUAAUUAUAUGGCGGAUGAGUGGAAGAAGAUGGUGAUCAAUGGUAGGGGUUCGUACGUGUUUAAGGAAAAACUAAAGACUCUCAAAGGGGCUUUGAAAGUCUGGAAUAAGGAUCACUUUGGCAUGCUGGAUAAGAAAAUAGCUGAUCAGGUGGACAUUGUUAAUUCUAUUGAUGUAAAAGGUUGUGUCGGGGUCAUUUUUGAAGAAGAUAUCACUAUAAGAAGAAUAGCUACUGUAGAUCUUUGGUGCCUUUCCCAGCAAAAAGACAACCUUCUGAUGUAAAAAUCUAGACAAAAUUGGAUAUGUACUCUAAUUCUAAAUUCUUUCAUGCUUCUAUUAAUAGGAGUCAGCGAUUUUAGGAAGUUUCUGGUUUGCUAAUUGAUGGGGAAUGGGUUGAAGACCCCAUAAGAGUGAAAGAUCACUUUAGAUCAUUUUUUCAGGAAAAAUUUGCGGAAAUUCAUUGGAAUAGGCCGACUCUUGAUGAGAUCGAGUUCAAUCGUAUUUUAGAGAUGGAUAAUAAUUUUCUUACCGCGAAGUUUGAAGUAGAUGAGAUAAAAGAAGCUAUUUGGAGUUGUGAUGGUGAUAAGAGCCCGGGUUCCGACAGUUAUAACUUCAAAUUCAUAAGACAUGCUUAGGAUGUCCUGAAGCAUGAUAUUAUCUCGAUGGUGUACGAUUUCUACUAUUUUGUGAAUUUGUCUAGAGGGUGCGAUGCUUUAUUUACUGUUUUGAUUCCAAAGAACAAUUGUCUGCAGGGUUUAGGAGAGUAUAGACCCAUAUCUCUUGUUGGAUGUAUCUACAAGAUCAUUUCUAAACUUCUAGCUGGUCGUCUCAAAAAGGUUAUUCAUGUGGUCAUCUCAGAAUGUCAAACUGCCUUCAUCAAGGGUAGAUAUAUUAUGGAUGAGGUGGUGAUUGCUGAUGAGAUUAUUGACCAGGCUAGGGAAAAGAAAAACGGGGAUUGUUUUAUCUUCAAAGUAGAUUUCGAAAAGACUUAUGACUCAGUAAAUUGGGUUUUCCUACUCUAUAUGAUGGAUAUGAUGGUUUUCUGUUCUAAGUGGAGGAGUUAGAUCAAAAUCUAUUUACAAUCUAGGUCGGUAUCUAUCCGGGUUAAUGGUAGCCCAAUGAAGGAAUUUUGCAUGGCUAGAGGAUUAAGACAAGGUGAUCCAAUUGCACCUUUUUUGUUCCUUAUUGUGGUUGAAGGCCUUGGUGGUAUUAUGAGAUCAGUUGUGUUCAACAACAUUUUUAGAGGUUAUCAGGUGGGCAUAGAUGAUGUUGUUAUCUCUCAUAUGCAAUAUGCAGAUGACACCUUGCUUAUAGGGAAGAAUUCUGCUGAUAAUGUCAUGGCUCUUAAAAGCAUUCUAAAAUGCUUUGAAUUGGUGUCUGGGUUGAAAAUCAACUUCCAUAAAAGCAAUUUUAUUGGUAUGAAAUCUAAGCGAGACUUCGUCCAGAUGGCGAUUGAAAAAUUAUGUUGUGAAGCGGGAGCCAUUCCAUUCAAGUUUCUAGGCAUCCCUGUUGGUGCUAAUCCGAAAAGGGUCUUCACUUGGUCUCCUAUUAUUAAUUCUUUCAAGAAGAAACUCUCUCUUUGGCAUCACAAACUUAUUUCUUUUGGUGGACGGGUAACUCUCCUUAAGUCGAUACUAUGCUCUUUACCUAUCUAUUUCUUUUCUUUCUUCAAAGCACCUAUUUAUGUGAUAAAUGAUAUUAACAAAAUUCAAAGACGAUUUCUUUGGGAAGGGGGGAGGAGAGUAAAGGUAUACACUGGGUGAGUUGGAAGAAAGUGUGUAGGUCUAAAGAGGGAGGAGGACUAGGAAUUAAAAAUCUAUCUUUGUUUAAUCUUGCUCUUUUAAGAAAAUGGAGGUGAAGAAUGUUAUUGGAGAGAGAUUCUCUUUGGGUGAAAGUGUUAAGGUCUAGUUAUGGGGAGGAGAUCUUUUGUAGUAGUGGGUUUGGAGACCAUGAUUUAUUCAAAAGAGGAUCAUCAUGGUGAAGGGAUUUAGGUAAACUUGGUAGUAAGAUGCACGGAGUUAACAAUGGUUGGUUAGGGAUGGUAUUAGAAGGAGUGUGGGUUUUGGGCAUUCCACUAAAUUUUGGCCAGAUCUUUGGGUGGUGGGGGGGGGGGAUUUACUUUAAAACUCUUUUGUAAGAUUGUUUUAGGUGACUUUGGACAAAGAGGCAACUAUUAGCUCUUUGGGCGAAUGGAGAAAUUGUGUUUGGUUUUGGAAUCUUAAAUGGAGAAGGAGCUUGUUUCAUUGGGAAUAAGAGGAAGGUUACAUACUUGUAACAGUUAUUGAAGCUACAAGACUUGUUCAAGACACCACGGAUGGUUGGAUUUGGAUGUAUGACAAAGGAGGCCUACACUCAAUGAGUAAUUCUUAUAAGGUGCUUCAGGAGAGUGUACCUUAUGACAAGGACUUGUUUAAUCUUUUAUGGUCAUGUAAUGUACCAUCAAAGAUGAGAUGUCUAGCAUGGAGAAUUGCUUUGGAAGGUGUCCCUACAAAAUUGAAUCUUGUUCGUCGAGGAGUCUUUGGAACUCAAGACCCACCAUCUUGUGUUCUUUGUGGCAUGGUGGAGGAAUCAACAAACCACUUGUUUUUCUCCUGUCCUAAAUCUUAUUGUGUUUGGCAGAAUUUCUAUUCUAGGUUUGGUCUUCUUUCAGUUAUCGCUAAUGAUGUCAAGAACAACUUAUAUUUACAUGCUAAUAUGUUGAGGAUGGACAAAAGGUGCAAGAAACAAUGGAUAUAACUAUGGUUCGUCACUAUAUGGAAUAUUUGGCUGGUUAGGAACAAACUAUUAUUUGAAAAUACUAUGGUCCACAUAGAUGAGGUAAUGAAUUUAUUUUUUGUGCAUUCUUGGAACAUUCUCAAUGCAUGUUUCCCUAGCUUCAAAUUCUCUUUUGUGGAAUGGUUGUCAAACCCUUCUAGUUGUCUUCUUGUGUGUAAUGUUUAAUCAAUUUGUGGAUAGGAAUACCACUUGUUCUCGUAAUGUUCUCCUCUUUUUGUUUAAUGAAUAUUAUUGCUGAUAAAAAAAAGAAUUACUAGCUGAUUGAGUUAUGAAUUAGGUCAUUUUCUUUAAAAUAUUUCAUGCUACUGCAAAAUAAUUGCAACCAAAUUAUGAACUAUGACAUCUCAAGAUAAAAUGGCUUACAUCCAUGAUUCUAUCAAGCACCAAUUGCAGUGUGUGAAUGGUUCUAAACCAAUCACACAUACACAUAUGGCUAAUGUUAAUGUCACUCUAUACUACUGCAAUUCUAUAGUGUAAUAGGAAGAAAUAGAGAGAAUGAGGUGGGGAAUGUUUUGGUACUCAGGCAAUUGGAUUUUUACCCACAUACAGAGGGCUGUUUAGAUUGGUUCAAAGGUAAUGUUGAAUUAGUAGUUCUUUUGAAUUUAGAAAACAACAAUUAUCUUAGGGUGGAUGGCAAAAAUGGAAUUUAGAUAAGUUAUCCUCAAUUAUGUCUCAAUCCAAUCAAAUUGUAAUAUCAAUUCAAAAAUUGAAUAGUGAGAAAUAUAUAUUAACUUUUAUUGUAUAUCAAAAUUUUAUUAGAAGAAACAUAAUUUUAUCCGAAAAGUGAUGUUAAUGAUAGUGUUGUGGAAAGUGACAGGGUUCCAUGCAUAUGAAGGCAAUAUUGUGUAUGCUGAGAAAUGUUCAUUGAUAAUAAAAAAAUAUUGAAAUAGAAGAAUGCAAAAUAAUUCACAAUCGCAAUAAUUUUGAGCUUAACAUUAUUAUUUUUGGAGAUUGUGCACAACCGAAUUACAUUUUCCAGCAAUCAUAGAAAAACAUAACCAAAGUAAGUGCAGGUUCAGCUCAAUAAUACUUGCAAAUAGCUUAAUUGUCCCAAAGUAUGAUACAUAUAAAUUAAAAAACUCUCUCAAAAAAACAUUCAUCCAAAAACAAAGUCAAAUUUUCAAUACUCCCCCAAGUCCCACUUGGUCACUUGUACACACCACCAACCUUUUUCAAUAUAUUUUCCAAUUGUUUAAUCUUGUACCGUUGCUUCUAUUUUUUCACUUCAUAGCACAAAAUACAGAAACCACAAACAAGGUAGAUAAUCUUAGCUAAGAGAAAGAUAGCAAUGGCAGAGGAAGCAGAACAAGAGAGAAUCACUAAGAGAAUCCUUCUCUUAAUAAACUGUGCCAUGCUAGCCAUAGGAGGCUCCGGUGGCCCACUCAUAUUACGUCUCUACUUCCUCCACGGCGGCCACCGAGUUUGGCUAUCCAGCUUCCUCCAAACCGCCGGCUUCCCCAUCAUGCUGGUUCCCCUCAUCAUCAUAUGCAUCUGCCGUAAACGCACCACCGCCACAAAGUCCAGCAUAGUCUCUAUCAAACCACCUCUAAUUAUAGCCUUCGCGGUUAUUGGUGUCCUUACUGGCGUUGACAAUUAUCUCUAUGCAUAUGGCGUGGCUCGUCUCCCUGUAUCCACUUCUGCUCUUAUCAUCGCCUCCCAACUCGCCUUCACCGCGGUUUUCAAGUUGAUGGGGCAGGCCUUUUCAAGUUGAUAAUGAUCUCAAAACCUUGUAGAAGGCCUUGUUGUGCUCCAACAAUUUCUCACGAGGUGGCAUGCAUUCUUUGAUAAUAGGAUGCUCAAGAAAAUCAUCAAACCAAGCAUUAAGCUUAGCCAUCGACUUCGUAUCAAUAAGGUUUAUGCCGACAAUUUCCUCCACUAAUCGAACCCAGCAUCCUAGCCAUCCAGUAGCAACAUCAGUGAACCCUAUUUUUUCACCUCCAAAGUAGCGCUUUCCCUCAAAUCCACUUUCAAGGGUCUUUAGAUUCUCUCGAGCUUCUUCUGCAGCUUUCUUUUGCUCCACCCCUCCCUUGGAAAAGGUGGUCAUAACUGCUGGCACACACUGAAAAAUAAAAGAAGAUCAAUUUCUGUAUAUACAGGUUCAAGUGUUCAACAUUGAAGGAGAUCGAAAACUUGAGUUAGAGUGUGACACAAAAUAGCAUAUGAUAAUAUGCUGUCUAAUAAUUUAUUGCCAUUUGUAGCAUCUUAAUUUGGUUUCAUACCUUUUCAUCAACGAAUCUAGACCAGAACCGUGCCUUGGCCUUUUCAUAAGGAUCAAGUGGAAGAAGAGGAUUUUGCUUCCAGGUCUCAUCAAUAUACUCAAGAAUCACAAGUGAUUCUGCCAGGGACUUACCUUGGUGCACAAGAACUGGUACCUUCUUGUAGACAGGGUUAUAUUGCAUGAGCAAUGCACUCUUGUUGGUUAGAUCUUCUUCUACGUACUGAUACUGAAUUCCUUUCAGUUCCAGUGCCCACUUGACCCUGAGGGCAAAAGGACUACCCCAAAACCCUAUUAACGUGAGUGAAUCUGAAGCCAUUUUUCUUAUAAAAACCCAAAAUUCAGCAGUUCUCUUUCAUUAUGUUUCUGUAAUCAUGAUUUAUAUUAUUAAUAAUUGUCAAUCACUAGAAACUAGAAAGUUAGACAAGUAAUUGAGUCUGAAUAGUCAAAUAGAAAAUCAUAAAUUGGCCUCAAUGAUGGAAAGUUCCUAUCUCGUGUCUUGACUUUUAGGCUGCUAGCACGACAAGGAUGGCUUUCAAAUACUGAUUGGAGGUAUUAAAAUAGAGUAAUGUGAUAUCUCUUACUAAAUCAUCUUAUUAAUUCUUCUAUCAAUAAAAAAAUAGUUCGUUAGGAGGAUAUAUCAUUUUUCAUUAAAAUAAAUUUGAGAAAUAUAUAUCUAUAUUUUGCUUCAACCUUCAUAGCUUACCUAAAUAGAUUUUGAAGUUUUACACAAUUGAUGAUUAUAUAAAUUUUUUAAAUUGAAUCUGAAAUGUUUAGAUGGUGCAAGAUAAUUAUAAAAAACAAAUCUAAUUUAUCUCAAAAGCCCAUUUAUAUGAUUAGGUUAUUUUGAUACGUAUUAGUGGUGUGGAUAGAGUGACUCGAGGGUGAGAGACGUUCAUCCAAUAUAAAAUUCAAUACAAUUUGUGCUGAAAGCAUCAUUUGAGUAGUCAUAGUAGAUUGCCUAACUGAUACGGAGAUAUAUUGCAUAUUAAAUCAAAUUCAUUAAGUUUUGUUCUUUGUUGUUGGGAUUGGAUAAUCGGAGGAUGGAUGGUCGGGAGCUGAUGAUGAAUGGUCGGGAACGUGUGGGAGAACAGGAGACAUGGUCGGAUGAUCGUCUGGACCCGCCGGGGGAGGUACCUGAAAAGGUUCUUCGACGAUCAAGCCAGUAAUGUAUUCUAGAGAGAGAAUGAGAGUAAAGAAGAGAGAUGUUAGAGCAAUAAGUGUAGCAAUGAAUGAGGGAAUGAGAGUUAAUUAUACUCCAUGUGUGGUCUCCUAUUUAUAGAGCGUUGUGAAUGCUGAAUUGACAUCUGGCCAUUAGUUAGCAUCUAACGGACAUAAGGAACGUACUCAGAUCGUCCUUUCUUGUCCUACGAAUCUACUCUGGCCGAAUUGUUGGGGACAGACGGAAUGUGCAGACGGUGUGGCAGAUGGUGUGGUAGACGGUCUGUUAUCUCACAUUGAAGGCGAGUCAGCGACGCAUUAAAUGGUGGGUCUGAUGCGCAUUAAAUGCUAUGCCAGGAACAUUAAAUGUUAUGUUAGGAGCCUUUAAUGCUAUGUCGGGAGCUCUUAUAGUUACUACCAUGGGAGAACCUACUUAAGGCGGGCAAUGGAGGUUAUGCGAGGCAAUGGACGUCAUGCUCGGGACCCAUGAUCAAUUGUCUGGUUAUGACCGGGACAGAACAGUUUACCCCAGUCUACCAGGUUGGUUGGGGAUAACCGAGCUUGUGGACUAUAUGGAAGGUUUGGAGAGAUGUUGGUUAAGACCUUAUGACCGGAAUAGAACAGUUGCCCUCAGUCGACGAGGUCGUGCAGGGAUGGCCGAGUUUAUGGACUAUACGGGUGGGUAGGAGAUAUAGGUUGUGUCCGGGAAUGGUUUAGGGACUAGGGGUAGGUCAUGAUGGUUAUCCGUUUCUAGGUUGAGAUGUCGAGCAUUAAUGACGUUCCUUCUCACGAUAGUGGAUACUCAAUCGUUGCGUCUGCUCGUUUCAUUUUCGUCGUCUGGAUUUCUCUGAUGUCGUUAGCUUGUUCUCAAGUGACUUUGGAAGGGCGGAUAUACGUUUCGAAUUGGGCCUCUAGGGAGACCUGCGCUUGGGUCUUCCCUAUAAAUAUGGGUUUUUUCUUCCCAUAUUCUUCAUUCUAUCUUCUUGCUGAGUUUUCUCAUCAUCUCUGAAUCCGGACGCAUUUUCUUCAUCCAGAAGUCUUCUUUCUUUCAAGCUUUUUUCAACUGGUAAUCCCGCUUCCUUCUUUGUUCUUUCUUUUUUGGUUAUGAUCGGCGGGGAAUCUAGCUCUGAUGACUUAGAAGUCUUGUUUGGGCCCCCGCCGAGUUUUGCGUCCCCUAGUUUCUGUCAUCGAAGGCGUUAGUUUACUUAGGGGCAACCUCAAAGGUUGUCCUUAUCCUCUCUCUUGCGUGAUGUGACGGUGAGGGGUAACAGGGACGAGGCCAACGUCCUGGACCGGGCACCCUUUUACGAUAAAUGGGGUCCGGUCUUGGAUGGUAUAUCCAAUUCGGAGUUUGACACUUCCUCUGAUGACAGGUUAUCUAUAGGGAGGAAUUUUUCCGAACGUGUUGACCAAUAUACGCUCCCGUCGGAGAUGAUAAGCUCAUAAUCUCCUUAAUGGUGGGUUGAUUGGGAGGUUGUAGGCAUCCCGUCUUUAUAUUCGGCAGAUAAACAACCUCAGGUGGAGCUUUUAGCAUAUCCGACUGAGGGUAUCUCAUGGCGUAGUCCAGCAAAAAAAGAGUGUGUGUGCCAGGACAUCCUCUUGGUAAAUAAGGAUCGUCAUAGCUUCUAUAUGUAUGAAUAUCUCUGCCACCGGAUCAGCAUGAAGGUUCCCUUUGACAACUGGUCUGCCUAGGUGUUGCAGCAUCUUCAUGUGGCCCCUUCCCAGCUUCAUCCCAACUCCUGGGGGUUUAUCCGGGCAUUCAAAAUUUUCUGUGAGGUGAUGGAACGUCCGUUCACGCUCCGUCUUUUUUUCUUGAUGUUCCGAGUGGGGCACAGUUCCAAUAAGGAUGAAAGUGAUGCGGGCCAGUGUGGAUGGACUUCAUUUCAGUCUGCAAACGGACGUGCCCUCUUCUAACCCUUCGAGGGAUCUGUAAGGGGUGGAAUGCCAGUUUUUUCCGGGUGAAGGUCGUGGGUGAGCAGCAUUCGUGGGCGUAUGGGUCUGGGGACAGACCCAAUUUCCCUUUUCCUGGAACAUUGGAAUCUAUCAAAAAUCGGCCAAGUCUUUCAGUUUCUCGUACGACCAGCUGAAUCAUCGGGGAAGGGUAGUGGCGGAUGAGAUGCUUAACUGGGUUAAGGAGGGUCGGGUUGUAAUUUGUUAUAAGCUGGCUCAGGGAGAUCAUAUUUUCGAGGCUGAAGUUGGUGAGCCUCCAGGUUUAUAGAUAUAGUAUGCAUGUAUUAUUUUAUCUUUGUAUCCUUUAUCCGGUUCUGAUAUCUUUUCCUCUUUUUCAGUAGCUACUAUGGGUGAUCAAUCCAAUUGAUCAAGUCUCCUGAGGAGGGCCGCCCUGAAGAGAAAGAGUGUUGAGGUUACCAAAAAGGCGAGGUUUGACUCGCCCACCCGUGCAAAGUCUUCUCAUGGGGAGUCAUUCAUUUUGGCGGAAAUGGUGCCUCCUCCUUCUGAAACUGAAGCGGUGGUCGUGCUGACCCCGACUAAUGCCCACCUGGUUGACCUAACCGGGGAAGAAGUUGUGCUCGUGGGGGGUCGUGACCCUCGCACGGAGGAACCUGCUACGGGGAAAACCAUUCGCAGUGGUAAAGGGAAGAUGGCCGCCAAGCCCUCCUUUUUGUAUCGGGUUCCCAAGGUGGUGAAGGUCGGGUUGCUCAACCCUGGGGUUUUUGUAAAGAUGGACUGACUGCCUGUGCUCGACCUUUUGAGGAGGGUUCGAGAGGCCGGGGUUUUGGCUGCUUCUGUGGCCAAGUACCUCGAGGGUGAUUGGGUGUUGGCCACCUGAGUCAAGGAAGAUGCUUUGGCUAAACUCCAAGAGCAGCAUUCGGCCGAACUCGAAGAGUUGGUGAAGAAAUAACUCGAGGCGCUUAAAGUCCAAGAGGAGCAAAAAUUGACUGCUGGGGAGCAGAUGUCGGCUCUGACAUUCCAAAGGUGACAUUGUUGUUGAUGGGGGAAAGCUUCAUCUAGAGACAAAGUUGUUGUUGGUCGAUGAACGAAAUGAGAUGAACAAAGGUGACAUUGUUCGUUUGACUGGAGAGUUGGCUCAACUGAGGGCGUUCUACCUGGACCUAGAGGAAGAUGUUGUCACUGCGGCAUAUGGCGGGUGGGAUAAGGCCUUUGCUCAGGUCCGGCUGGUUCUACCGGAUGCAGAUUGGUCGUGGACUCGGAUAGAUGCCACGAUCGCUCCUGCGGGGGAGUUGAUCGCUGAUGACGGGAAGGUCCAGUGAAGCUUCCGGUCCCGGGUAGGAUUUAGUGGGGGAGGGAGCUGAUGAAUCUUUGUAUUUUGUAUGGAUUUUGCAAAUGAAUGAAAUGUCGAUUUACCCUACUUAUUUAUUUUAUGUGUCGCUCUGAUUUUUAUAUUGUCUGACCAGUAACUUUAUGGACUUUGAACGGUUGUUUGUCAACCUAUCCAAUUAAUAACCUUUAAUAACCACCUCGUCUUGAUUAACCGUCUUAUCCUUAGUAAACUUGAGUGACCAUCGAGUCUUGAUUAAUCAGGCUAUACACUUAAUAAACUUGAAAUUGUUUAAUAAACUCCAAGUCUUGAUUGGUCGGGCUAUCCAUUUAAUAAACUUGAAUGACCAUCGAGUCUUGAUUAACCGGACCAUUCAUUUAAUAACCUUGAAUAACCACCAAGUCUUGAUUAACCGGGUUGUACAUUUAAUAAACUUGAUUAAUCGCCAAGUCUUGAUUAACUGGGCUAUACAUUUAAUAAACUUGAAAUUGUUUAAUAAACUCCAAGUCUUGAUUGGUCGGGCUAUCCAUUUAAUAACCUCGAAUAACCACCAAGGCUUAAUUAACCAGGACUGGUCCACACCUCCGAGGGGCGUAUUGUUGGCGACCAAGAGGACUUGGUCCCGACUUGGGUUGGCAAAUUUGAACCGCCAUCGGAGGGGGACUAGCCCACGCCUCCAAGGGGUGUAUUGUUGGUGACCAAGAGGACUUGGUCCUCGCUUAGGUUGGCAAAUUUGAACCGCCAUCGGAGGGGGACUGGCCCAUACCUCCGAGGGGUGUAUUUUUAGCGACCAAGAGGACUUCGUCCUGGCUUGGGUUGACGAAUUUGAACCGCCGUCGGAGGGGGAUUGGCCUAUGCCUCAGAGGGUGUAUUAUUGGCGACCAAGAGGACUUGGUCUUGAUUUGGGUUGGUGAAUUCUAACCGCCGUCGGAGGAGGACUGACCUAUGCCUCCGGCAAAUUAAAUGUUUAGGUCAAGCCUGGAGUUCUGUCUUGACUGGCUGUUGAUUAUUAAAUAGAGGUGGACUUUGUGAUGCUAUACUGCUAUCCUGUGAAGCAUGGAUUCGUCAAACACCCUCACGUGUCGGUGUCUAACACGUAUCCGACACGGAUACGCUCGAAUUCGCGAAGGAUACGUAUCCAUAGCGUAUCCAAAAAUUUAAAAAAUAAAAUAAAAUAAAUAAAUAGUAAGACACGUAUCCGAUUCGUUUUCAAUAAAAUAUAAGAUAUAUGGAUUCGUUUUCAGUAAAAUAUAGGAUAUAUAGAUUCGUUUACAAUAAAACAUGAUAAGAUAUAUUCGUUUCCAAUAAAAUAGGAUAAGAUAGAUUCGUUUCCAAUAAAAAAAGAUAAGAUAAAUUCGUUUUCAUUAAAUUAGGAUAAGAUAUAUUUGUUAUGGAGGACAAUGAUUUUAGGAUAGAUUCGUUUUCAUUAAAAUAGGAUAAGAUAAAUUUGUUAUGGAGGACAAUGAUUUUAAAUUUCCAUUAUAUUUUUUACUUUGGAUAUUUUGAUUUACACUUAUAAUUUUAUCAUAUUUUAUGUGUUUUUAUUAUUUUAUAUUAUACGCGUAUCCCUGAACGUAUCGUAUCCUGUAUUUUGGAAAAAAAUGUAUAUCGAUGUAUCAGAUACAUAUCGUAUUCGACAUACGUAUCUGUAUCUGUGCUUCAUAGCUGCUAUCUUUUCUCAUAUAUUUAAUAAACAAAAAAAUGUUAAUUUUUAACGACAAGUUGGUUUGUGCUGAGAAAGGUUAGUUUGUGAGGACAUGUGGAUGUUUGUCAACAAAAAUAUUAUUUCAAAUAUCUUACGUAUCUAUGAACAAAACUUUGUGUCCAAAUUCAAGUAUAUGUUUGGUACAUUCUUUUUUCAUUUUUUAAUUAUGUUUGUAUGAUAAGUGUCAAAUUUACGUUUUUUAACAUAAAUUGUUAGCACUUUUCCACUGUGAUUCCACUUGUACUUGAUUGAAUCAAUUUUUGGGUACAAUUUGUUUAUGAAAUGCAAUUUUCAAUAUCUCAUAGUUAAUAUUUGACCAUAUAUAUUUUGGAAUGAAAAUUAAGGAAUUCAAAUCAAAGCUCUUUAAGCAAAAUUCAGAAAUUAUAUUCAUUCACAAUUAGAUCAAGAAAAUACUGAGAUAUGAUGUUCCUAAUAUAUGACAUUUCAAUAUGGAGUGUCGAAUAUACAAAAUAGUUUUUGGUGAAUAAGAAUAAGACGUAAUGUUGGGAGUCUCAAUUAACCAUUUUCGAUAAUGAGAAUUCUUUCGUUGAGUAAAAAUGCACAAAUAAUUGCAUCUUUAAAAAGGAAAAACACAAAAUUUUAGAACCCUAACUUCCCAUUUUCAUCAUUUUUUAUUUUUUAGAUAUGGGAUUGUAGUUGUAGAGUUUUUGUUAGUUAUUGGAGAGGAAGAUUUGAAAACGAAAACAUUGCAACCUCAUGGAGCUCACUUUGAUGCUUUUCCAUUGAGUUUCAUCAACUUUUCUCUUCCAUUAUUUUGGAAGAGAACCUGAAUUUCUUUCAAAUUUUAAAAACUGGAAUAAUUGACCAACGAAAAAGUGUGGUGCUUGCGGAGGAGCAAAAUUACUGUCCGCUUGCAGUAUCUCUAGUACUCGCGGAAAAUGUAUAAUUUCUUAUUUGGAUUAUAUGUGAUUGUUCAAUUUAAUGUACCUAUUUUAAUUCAUUUCAAUAUAUUCAUGUAUGCAAUGAUUUUUGUGCUUUAUUCUUGUUCUUUAUGCUUGUUUUAGUUUGAUUAUUUAAAACAUGUAUGGUUGGAAAUCCCACAUUUGAGUUUGAACUAAUAUAUGUCACCCAACAUUUUUAUUGCAUUUAAUAUUUAUUUUUGUUUCUAGUUGUUUAAAUUGGAAAUCAAAACAAUUCUGAAAAAACCUUUUGAGCUUAAAAUUAUAAUUAUUGUUGAAUGGUCUAAUAUUGUUCAAAACUCAUGUAGAUACAAUAUUUCUUUAUACUUAUUCAUUAUAUUGAAAUUCAAUAUUUUAUUGACGAAUUUGUCGUUAGAAAUAUAUUACAAAAGAAAACAACUAGAAAGUUAAGUAAUAAUCAUUAAAAAGCAAAGUUCCUUGUGCCUUCUAAAUUUCAAUAUGAUAGGAAUAAUACGGAGAAGCAUUAAAGUAUUCCUUGUGCCUUCUAUAUUUUUUAUUUUCCAGUAACCAAACGUGUUUCCAUAUUUUUUUUAAUAUCCUAAUUGGGUCAUUAUGAAAUUUGAAUGAGUUACACCAAUUCUUUUCUCCGUAUAGCACCUGACGUACAAACAUCAAGAUUAUUUGCUUUCUUACAGGUACAAAAAUGAUCCCAACAUAUAAAAGUUGUUGCAUUUAACUUGCUAUCGGAAGAUUUCCGGUGCACCUCCUAUUAAUGUUGAACAAUCUUAGCUAUUCAAGGAAAAAGGUUAAAUGUAUGCCAAAAGGGAACUUGAAAUCGCAUCAACAAUGUCUUAAUUGUCAUAAAGUAUUGCUGUUUUUCUUUUAUUAAAAACAGUUUUUCCUUUCUAUUUAGUUAAUUGGUGUGUGUUACAAGUACUUCUUGUUGAUUGCCUCAUACGAAUACCACAUUGUUAGCACAAGAAGGAUCUUAUUAAAUCAUGUCUUACAUCCUAUCUUGCAUUAAUAAAAUAUUAUAUAAAUUAAAAAAUUAAAUAUUAUUAUUUUUUAUUUUAUUAUCAUUAAUGUGAGAUAAUAUUUAUGAUAUAGUUUUGGACAACAAAUUAUACUGGUCAUUUCAAAUAUGAAAAACAUUACAUGCUCACCUGCCUACUUUAUUUUGUUUGUUGCAAUACUAACAAUCUAUCUUAUGGAUUUUCAAUCCAUUCAUAAUAUGACAUCAUACCUUGCCACUUUUACCUUUCAACAACAAACAUGAGCUACCCUUUAUCAUUUUCAAAAUGCUCUUCAAAUCUGUCUCAUCACUCAUCAGAAUCAGAAUUAAAAAAAGUGUUGUUCCUUCACACAUUUUGCAUAAAAAUGCUGUGUCUGGAAAGUUUAAAAGAAUUUACUGUUCAGUUUCAACUAUAAUUUCUUUUCUUAAUUGCAUUCUUGUCAUACAUGCACUAUAUCUUUUUCUUUUCAACUACAUUUUAUUAUAUUAUAGUAAUGAUUUGUUUUUCUAAUAUGAGGAAAUAAUGUAUACACUAAUAGUAAUGUAUAUACUAAUAGUAUAUCUUCUUUCUUAAUUGCAUUCUUGUCAUACAUGCAUUAUAUAUUUUUCUUUUCAACCACAUUUUAUUAUAACAAUAAUUUGUUUUUCUAAUAUCAGAAAAUAAUGUAUGUAUUAACAAUAUACGAAUUUUAUAUAUUGUUAUUGCAUCGUUUAUUAUUUAUGUUUAAUUAUUAUUGUCUUUUAAAAAAAGUAAUUAAAAUAAAUAAUAGAUAAUAUAGUUAUUAUAUUUACAUCUUUACAUUAUGAGUACAUAAAUAUUACAUUCUUCUAAUAUUCAUAUAUAAUCCAAACAUGAUAUUAAACUGUGAUUAAUCCUAGUUAAAUUGGGAGGACCCCAUAGAAAGGUGUAAAACUAUUUCUUUAUUAUUCUUAAUACUAAGAUCGGAAAUUUUUUACCACUGAGAUGAACAAACACUGAUUAUAACAUUAUUUUUAAUCUAAAUCAUUGCAGCUAUUGUUUUUCUUUGAGCAUUGCUAGUGCAUCUCCUCUGCCGUCAAUAUAGGAACUGACAUGUUAAAGAUCUUUAGUUCCAAGUACUGAUAUAAAAGUUUUAUUCUUUUGAAGAAUAGAAUGACACACGAAUCAGAAUGGCUAUAAUAACCCUGUCAGAAGAAAACGAAUAGAAGAAUAUAAUGGCACACGAAUCCAAAUUUGCUCGUAUCUCUUCUUCUAAAGUACUCAUCUCGUGAAAGAAGAAAGCACUACUUGAUAAGAACCCAAAUGAAAUUUUGAGAAAGUCUGUAAUUAAAUCACAUGCUAACUUUUAGUUUAUCAUCAUUUGUCUGUGAAAAUACCACUUUUUCGUUUAUUCACGCGUGAGCAUAUAGCUCAGUGGUGGAUUUUAUUAUUUUAUAUGCUCAGUAACAAUUGAGAAUGCCCAAUGGCAGAGAGGUAAGUCAUUGUUUGAAAGGUUAAAAGAAAGUGAUCACAAAAAAAAAUAGAAUGAUAAGAUACACAUGUGUGAACGUGGCCAGGAUGGAGACAAGGAAGGGUUGUGUGGUUCUUCAAACGGGAUGAGAAUUGUACUCACCUUUAUCCCAUUUUAUAUCCCACCGAAUAAGAAAAUCUCAUUUUAUUAAAAAGAAAAAAUAUAAAUUAAUACUUUUAUAUUAUUUUAUAAAAUUUUAUUAAUUAAAGAAUUCAUAACAUAAUUUUCUAGGAUUGAAGAUCUUUCUCUCAGGUAUGGGGUGUGAGGAGGAGUGAAAAAGAAAGUAAGUUAAUUUUUACUUUUAUAACAAUGAAAGGGUUUGUAAUUUGAUUUUAUGAAUAUAAUUUAUUAAAUGGGAAAAAGAUGUAUACACCGAUAGUAUAAAAUUUUUUUACACUGUCAUUACAUCAUCUAUCAUUGACUUUUUGUCAUUAAUGACUUUUAAAUAAAAUUAUUGCAAAUGAAUGGUGGAUCAUAUACUGAUUUUGUAUAAAUCAUUAUACUGUCAGUGCACACAUUUUACACACUUAUUAAAUUUAUUUUUAUAAUAUAGAUGUAUGGUAGUUAUAAUAAUUACAUUAAUAUCUUACUAAUUAUCCAGGUUUCACACCUAAAGCUACCACAUUAAUAGCUUUCCACAUACAUAUCCAUUAUUUCUUCAAUGAUACCAUUUUUCUUUGAAUUUUAUUUUUAUACAUUGCCAUCCAGCUAAGCUGAUGAGAUACGUAUUCAAUGGGUUCUGUUCUAAUUAAGGAUAAUGCAUGACCCUACAAGUAUCAUGUAACACCAACGACAAUAAUAUAUCCGGAACAAAUCCUUUCGUGUGCAUUCCGUAUAAAUUAGGGAGAAGGGGAUACUGAAUAGUUGUUAACCAAACAUCCUGAAUAAAUAUAAUACUGAAGCAAUUAAACAAUUCCUUUAAAGCACCUAUUUUCAAUAUAAGGUGUGCAUUCAGUAUAAAUUAGGGAGAAGGGGAUACUGAAUAGUUGUUAACCAAACAUCCUGAAUAAAUAUAAUACUGAAGCAAUUAAACAAUUCCUUUAAAGCACCUAUUUUCAAUAUAAUUAUGUAUAUUCCAUAUUUUUUAGGUGCAUAGAUAAAUAUAUAUUUCAAGACAUUUUAAAACCUUUCUAUGUGUGUCCGCUAUACAACGUUAAUUUUAUGCUGUUAUAAAAUAUGAAUGUUGAAUUAAUCUAUGAUAUAUUUCAAGAUAUUUUAAUACUGUUGUAUUCAGUAAAUGGGGAUGACAAUUAUUGCCUCCAAUAAUUUGCUGUCAAUAAAUGGCAUAAGUAGUAGCUAACUUAUUAUGUCAGCUUCCCUAGAAAUCAAUUCAAUAUAUAUUCCUAAGAAACUAAGACUGUUGUAUACAUUAACGCAGAGGAGAAUUAUUAGGUACCAAGCACCUAUAUAAUUCAGAGAAUUGUAGCUAACUGAGUAAAACAAGCCAUGGCAGAAGUAACGGAAGCAGAACAAGAGAAAACCAUGAAGAGAAUUCUUCUCAUAAUAAGUUGCACCAUGUUAGCCAUAGGCACUUCCGGUGGCCCAAUCAUGAUACGGCUCUACUUCCUCCAUGGCGGCCACCGUGUUUGGCUAUGUAGCUUCCUUGAAUCCGGUGGCUUCCCAAUCAUUCUAAUUCCUCUUUUCAUUUCCUACAUCCGCCGCCGUCGCAGCGCCGCCGCCAAUCAAAGCGCAAAAAUAAAGAUGGUUCUUAUCGAGCCACCUUUAUUUUUCGCCUCUCUUGUUAUUGGUCUCAUCACCGGCCUCAGCACUUUUUUCUUUGCUUUCGGCGUGUCUCGGCUUCCCGUAACAACUUCUUCUCUAAUUUUAGCUACUCAACUAGUCUUCAACGCGCUCUUCUCAUUCCUCUUAGUAAAGCAGAAGUUUAGGGUUUAUUCUGUAAACACCAUCGUUUUGCUGACUAUUGCAGCCGGAAUUUUGGCUCUGCAUUCAAGUGGGGAUCGUCCUUCUGGUGAAACCAGUAAAAAAUAUUUGGUGGGGUUUAUUAUAACAGUAUUGGUUGCAUUGUUGGAUGGGUUUAUUUUUCCCGUGGUGGAAUUGGCGUACAAAAAGGUCAAGCAAACUAUCAGUUAUACACUCGUCUUGGAGGUUCAGUUCGUUAUGUGCACGUCUGCUUCUUUGUUUAGCAUCAUCGGAAUGAUAGUAAACAAUGACUUUAAGGUUAGUCUCUUCCUUGAAAUUACUACAUGCUUUUCGAAUGAGACGUUAUAACUUAUAUGUUGAAGUAAUUAAGCACAAAUAAAUAUCAUGUGUUCUAUUUAGUGUCUUGUCUUUGCAUCCAAUAUAAAAGUAAUGUAUUAUUAAAAAUAUAUGAACAAAUAUUAUUAUUUAUUGGAAUUUAAUUCACUAGAAACAUAGGAACAUGAUAUUUUUUGAAACAUAUGAUUAGUGUUCAUUGAGCAUGUUUUUAUACAUUUGUACAUCUAUUUAUAUAAUUUUCCUCUCUUUCCAUCACUUCAAAAAAGAAAGAAAAGUUGGGGAUAUGUAUUGUGUCCUGUGUGAUUUCCUCAAGUGGGAUGUCAAAAUUCCAUUUCUCUUUUACACUAAUCCAAGCUUUAUGAUUUACUUAAUUAUUGAUUUCAAAUUAAAUAAACUUAAUAAAAUUUGUCAUUAAUAUAAAAUUGACUGUAAAAAUAUAGACUUAAUAAUAACAUCUCAAAUAUAUAAUAUAUUAUUUUUGGAUUAUAUAUCUAGCACUUAAAUCCAAAAUAAUUGUUAUAUAAAUUAGGAUUAAGGAUAACAUAUUCUCAUUUUAUAAAAAAUGAACCGGGAUAAGAAGAAAAUGUAGAGUCCCUAGCUAAUAAGUUAUUAGCUUAUGAUAUGUGAUCAUCCAAACAUUUUGAGUUAUUUUAGUCUAAACUAUAAUCCUGCUUGAGUCGAGUUUGAUUUUUAUGGAUGUAAAGCACUUUCUACCAAAAGCAAUUAGAUUCCUAGGGACUCAAACACAAGACAUCUAAUUAAACUCUCCCCUAAUUGAUUUAUAUUUGAUAGGUAUUCAUAGACCUUUUAAUUUAUUACUUACAAAUAUUCAAUUGAAACUUAUUUUGAAAACAAUUGUUGAGUUUUUGAUGUCUUCUUUCGCAGUUAAUCUCGAGCGAAGCCAGGCAAUUCGAACACGGGGCUGUUGUUUACGGCAUUGUGCUGGUGACAAUAGCUGUACUGUUUCAGUUUCUUCUUUUGGGAGGAAUAGGGGUCGUUUUCUGUGCCUCAUCUUUAUUGUCUGGUGUUAUAAUUGCUGCAAUUUUACCUGUAACAGAAAUCUUAGCAGUUAUAUUCUUCAAAGAAAAAUUUAAUGCAGAAAAGGGUGUUGCUCUGAUUCUCUCCCUUUGGGGCUUUGCAACAUAC